GGUGGCUUAGUGGUAGAGCGUUUGCCUUGCAUGCAGGAAGCCCUGGGUUCGAUUCCUCAGCACCA
rnacentral:tRNA from 1 species